rnacentral:misc_RNA from 1 species
GUGAGGAUCACUUUGAAUGGCACAGGAUUAAUUGCUUGAGUGCGGGUGUAGAAGACAGUUCCUACAUCGUAAAGAAACAUUCUGCUUGUGAGAACUACGCUUUGAGCGACUUCAUCUUCUGAAUAAUUGCGCAGCAAGGUACCAUGCAUCAGAAAUCACGAGCUGUACGAACAUCUGUUUAACUUAGUUCUUUGAAGAUUCGGUGUGAAG